AUGCCAUCCAACCAUCUCAUCCUCUUUUGCCCCCUUCCCUUCACGCCCUCAGUCUGUCCCAGCAUCAGGGUCUUUUCCAAUGAG